CAGAAUAAAUGUAUUCCCUAGAAAAUGCUUCAGGCAGCAGAAACGUCUCGGGGAUUUUUGAAAACCUCUUCCUGUGUAUAAGUGUAAUGUCAAAAAUUAAAGCCUGGAUUCCUCAGUCUAUCACAUAAGGCUCUUCAUAUUGUGACCCAGGAGUGGGAUGUGCUUUUCCUCACAUAAACCAAUGCGCUCCAACACACUGGAUCAGCAGUGACUGCGUGGAUAGGUAUUUGGAGGCCAUAUCUACACAAGCAACAUUGUUCUGAGUGAUGAGAUUGAUUCGUUGAUGGCUGCUGCUGGUAGGGACCUAGUAUAGUGCUGCAAAUGCCAUGCAUUUCCCCAAUAUAGGGCCAAUCCACAUUUCCUAGAUCAUGUCUUCUAUCCUUUUCCCUACAUAGGCCCUAGUUAAAUGAUUCUCAUAAACUAUAAUUUCCUUUGUCCAUGGUUUUCCCCUCUUAUUUCGCCUCCAUCUGGAACAUCACCCAAUCCCCAUCAGUUCCACAAGAAAGAUCCUCUUUCAAUAUCCCACUCAGGCAUCAUCUACUCCAAAAAGGCUUCCCUGAAUUCCCCAGCCAAAAAUCCUCUCCCCUUCUUCUGAUGGUGCUUCUUUGUCGGUGUUCAUCAUGUCUCCUUUAUAUUAAAGUUAUUUAUGUUCUUGCCUUCUCUGUGCAGCUGGACAACAAACCCCUUGAAUGCAAUAACCCUGUGUAGCUCAUCUUUGAAUCCAUCACUGUGAUUCACACAAAGACUUGCACUGAAUAAAGUAUAUGAUAUAGGAAUAUAUAAAUAAAUGAAUGGCGGGUACUCAAUAUUUGUUGAAUUAAUGAACAUAAGAUUAUUAUUACUACUCGCCUGCAAUGUCACAAAGAGAUUAAGUUAUGCUUUGUAGGCCAGAGAAUAGGGCUGAUGCUUUGGUGGCUCUAUGAGUAGCUAGGCUCUAGGGAGAUGGUGACAAAACACCAGCUCUAGAGCAGCUCAGAAGGCAGUAGAAGAGUCAGGAAAGUAGAUGCUCAUAUGUAAUAGGUGAAGCUGAUAACGUGAGACUCAACAGGAAUUUUUUUGUCUUGAAAUUGCUGGCAGGUUAAUAAAAAGCUGAUGAGCACCCUGGAUUAGAAAAUGUUAUAUAAUAUUUUGAUGCACUUACUGUCAAGGGGCUCAGUCCUAAAAUAACCUUUUCCAUUUGUUAAUGCGUGUGCAUGUGUGCAUGUAUGCACACGUGCAUUUUCACAUGCUCAUGCUUGCUUGGAUGAAUAGAGUGAAAGGAGCAUGCAGAGAUUCCACACGAUCUCCUGAAAUGUCUCCAAAAAAAAAGAGAAAGAAAAAAAAAAGAAACUGAUGAUUCCCUUUAGAUGAAAGAGAAAACAUCCCUGAAUAAAUAAUACCUUUCAAGAGGCUUAAUACGUUGUCAAGAGCAUUUUCACUGAUUGGUAGAAAUUCUUUUUGAUUAAUUAAUCAGUUAAUGUUUUCAAAGCAUUUUCAAGAUGAAAAACAUUUUGCGAGGGCUAUAUAAUUGUUAUUUUUCCUACGCGCCCUGGCUUUCCACAUUACUAGGUUUGUUUUUCUCUCCUGUUGCUCACCAAGCCACGUAUCCUCACAGACGCAUGGUAGGGAAUACUCUUAGAGAAUAGAGACAGAGAGAUGGGUUACUAAUGAGCAGGCAAUAAGAAAAAAAUAACUCUGAAGAUACACUUUAAAAUUAUAUUUGAAAUAUAACCAUACAAGAAGAUGGAGA
rnacentral:lncRNA from 1 species